AAUCUCUGUGACGUCGGUAGGGACACGCCCCCCCUCCCUUGCGAAGGGGCUUCGUCCGCCUUCGCGCAGCCAGCCAGAAGGAAAGGGGGAUUCCCGCGGGAAGAUCUUUGCCUAAGCGCGUGGCGGCCCCGCUUCGCGCCGCGGGGCAUGGAUCUUGACUAGGCUUGCCCUUCUUGGUGCUUUUUAAUUACAGGCAGCGUCAGAAAAGGGUCGCGAGGAGGAAAGGGGCUGUUAACCCUUCCCUCCCCUUCUGCCAUUUAAUUUCGCCCCACCACCAAUCUGCAAUUUGCAGGAAGGGCCAAGCUCCUGGAUAGGAGUUCUUCCACCUGCAUCUAUCCACGGGAGACCGGCUCUCGCACCUCUCAGUACAACCGCAGGCCUCGAAACAUAGUGCUGUGGCAUCGAAACUCAUUUUACUGGCCAGGUCGAAAACCUUAUCUCAGCAGUCAGCACUACUACCAUCACAGGCUAAAGGCCAUCCCCCAGCUGCAAAGUCACCAUCCAGCUGGGCCUUCCUGGUGCUUUUUAAAAGAAAAGACUGCAUUGACUUCUCCAGUUUGACACUUUGGUUCUAGCUAUGCUUUAUAUUCGUUCAUCAAAAGUUGUUACCUGUAAACCGAACUCCUAGGUACUGGAAGAAAUGUGUUACACUGCAGAUGGAACUAUUUCUGAGAACCUUCCAGUUCCUUGUCUUCCCACCCCCUUUCAAGGACCACUGGUCAGUGACGGCCUUUCCCACCACCCCGCUUCUGCUUUGCUGAGGUGCUGCAAGCCGUGGAGCAACCUGAAGUAGAGUGGGACCAUGAGGAAGAGGUGUGUCUUUUCCAGUGACUAAAGUACAGCAGCCAUGGAGAGAAACACAC